rnacentral:sRNA from 1 species
AUCGAUUACUCCCCGUUACCGGCUGUAAACAAAAUGGCCUCACCACGAUCUAAGUUGGAUGAGGUUGAGGCCCAAAAAUUCCGAGAUAAUUUAGCCCGAUUAAAAAGUUUUUUUUCCAAGAUGAUGAAAAAACAAAGGCUGCUUUAAGCCUUAUUUUGGACGAGCUCAUAGCUGUUGAUUCUUCUGUUUGUAAAUUUAUUCAUGAAUAUGAAGGCAGCGAAUUGUUGGCUCGUUUGUGUCACUCCAUACCUAUACAUCUGGAACGGAUCGUAGUGAAACUGUGUCUGGUGAUCACCAACUUUAUUACACACAAGAAUGUUAUUUUGUCCAGUGGUGAUCUUCAUACUGUUGUUCAGUUUCUCACCCAGGCUUUACUUCAGACUCAAAGUUUUAUCCACUCAGACAUCCUUAGAGCUCUUAGUGCAGUCUGUGAGAAUAAUAGUCAUCGUAUUGAGAAAUUCCAUGAUGUUCUGGUUGGAGGUCAGGGACUAUUACUACACUUAACAGAUGACACAACCAAUGAUGAAGAAGUUGUGGUUGAAGCUGUCAGGUGUUUAGCUGUGUUUACAUCAAUAAGGUAAUGGCAGUCAGGUGUUUAGCAGUGUUUACAUGAAUAAUGUUUUGGAAGUUAGGUAUUUAGCAUUGUUAUGGAACUUGCAUUGAUCAUAUCUUUUAUAUCACAGCUUUAUAGAAAAAAAGAUCUCA